AUUGAACGCUGGCGGCAGGCCUGACACAUGCAAGUCGAACGGUAGCACAGGGGAGCUUGCUCCUCGGGUGACGAGUGGCGGACGGGUGAGUAAUGUCUGGGGAUCUGCCCGAUGGAGGGGGAUAACUACUGGAAACGGUAGCUAAUACCGUAUAACGUCGCAAGACCAAAGUGGGGGACCUUCGGGCCUCACACCAUCGGAUGAACCCAGAUGGGAUUAGCUAGUAGGUGGGGUAACGGCUCACCUAGGCGACGAUCCCUAGCUGGUCUGAGAGGAUGACCAGCCACACUGGAACUGAGACACGGUCCAGACUCCUACGGGAGGCAGCAGUGGGGAAUAUUGCACAAUGGGCGCAAGCCUGAUGCAGCCAUGCCGCGUGUAUGAAGAAGGCCUUCGGGUUGUAAAGCUCUUUCAGCUGGGAAGAUAAUGACGGUACCAGCAGAAGAAGCCCCGGCUAACUCCGUGCCAGCCGCCGCAGUAAAAC
rnacentral:rRNA from 1 species